ACUGCACGAAGCUGGAAUCGCUAGUAAUCGCGGAUCAGCACGCCGCGGUGAAUACGUUCCCGGGCCUCGUACACACCGCCCGUCACACCAUGGAAGUCUGCAAUGCCCGAAGCCGGUGGCCUAACCACUUAUGUGGAAGGAGCCGUCUAAGGCAGGGCAGAUGACUGGGGUGAAGUCGUAACAAGGUAAC
rnacentral:rRNA from 1 species